CUCAGGAGGCUGAGGCAGGAGAAUCACUUGAACCCAGGAGAUGGGAGGUUGCAGUGAGCCGAGAUCACGCCACGGCACUCCAGCCUGGGUGAAAGGGCAAAUCAAAAAAAAAAAAAAAGAAGAAGAAAAGAAAGAAACAAACAAACAAAAUAGAUUUAAAAAUCCCUGCCCUCAUGGCAGCUGCCAUUCUGGUGGGAGACAAAAAGCCAGAAGCAAGAUAACCAAGUAAACUAUAUAGCAUGUCAGAUGUUAACGAGUGCCAAGGUGUACAAGUAAACAGGAGUGGAGGAUAGGGAGUAUAUAGUUGGGGAAAGGCAGAGUAAAGGAAGUCCUCCCCAGAAGCUGACAUCUGCAUAAAGACCUGAAGGGAGGAACUGAAGGCAUUACCUGGGGGGAGGAGCUUUCCAGGCAGAGGGAGGAGCAUUCCAGGCAGAGGAGGAACAAGUGCAAAGGCCCUGAGGCAGGAGCAGGCAGAGGCAGGCCUGCCAUGUUCCAGGCAGUGUGGCUGGAGGGGAGGGAGCAAGGAGGAGGGAAUAGAGGGUGAAGUCAGACAGGCGAUGGGAACUAGGUCGUGUAGGCCUUACAGGACACUGUGUUUCAGUCAGUGCUGCUUUUACUCUGAAUGAGCUGGGAAAUUUCAAGGGUUUUGAGCUGAGGAAUGAUGACAUGACAGGGGCACAGUGGCUUCACUGAAACUCAAAUUCAGGGGGCAGAAGUGAAGCAGAGAGGCCAGAGAGAAGUCAUUAGCAGAGAAAGCUGGUGGCAGGUACCCAUGAAAAAAGCCUGGGAGUGGGAUUUUUGGUUUUGCUUUGUUUCGUUUUGUACAAAAAUAGUGACAGGGUCUCACUAUGUUGCCGAGUCUGGUCUGAAACUCCUGGGCUCGAGGGAUCCUCUUGUCUCAGCCUCCCAAAGUGCUAGGAUUACAGGCGUGAGCCAACAACCCCGGCCUAGGAGUGUUUUGACGGUAAGACCAACAGGCAUUACUAACAACUAGAUGUCGAUUAUGAAAGAGGGGAGAGGCCAGGCGCAGUGGUUCAUGCCUGUAAUCCCAGCAUUUUGGGAGGCCGAGGUGGGCAGAUCGCUUGAUCUCAGGAGUUCAAUACCAGCCUGGGCAACAUGGUGAAACCUCAGGAUAUGGUUUGGCUGUGUCCCCACCUAAAUCUCAUCUUGAGCUGUAGUUCCUAUAAUCCCCACAUGUUGUGGGAGGGACCAGGUAGAGAUCACUGAAUCGUGGGGGCAGUUACCUCCAUGCUGUUCUCCUGAUAGAGAGUUAGUUCUCACAAGAUCUGAUGGUUUUAUAAAGGGCUUCCCCCUUCGCUGGGCACUUAUUCUCUCCCCUGCGACUCUGUGAAGAGGUGCUUUCCGCCAUGAUUGUAAGUUUCCUGAGGCCUCCCCAGCCACACAGAACUGUGAGUCAAUUAAACCUCUUUCCUUUGUCAAUUACCCAGUCUCAGGUAUUUCUUCAGAGCAGUGUGAGAACGGACUAAUACACUCUGUCUCCACCAAAAAAUACAAAAUUU
rnacentral:lncRNA from 10 species